AAAUUGAAGAGUUUGAUCAUGGCUCAGAUUGAACGCUGGCGGCAGGCCUAACACAUGCAAGUCGAACGGUAACAGGAAGAAGCUUGCUUCUUUGCUGACGAGUGGCGGACGGGUGAGUAAUGUCUGGGAAACUGCCUGAUGGAGGGGGAUAACUACUGGAAACGGUAGCUAAUACCGCAUAACGUCGCAAGACCAAAGAGGGGGACCUUCGGGCCUCUUGCCAUCGGAUGUGCCCAGAUNNNNNNNNNNACAGCUUGCUGUUUCGCUGACGAGUGGCGGACGGGUGAGUAAUGUCUGGGAAACUGCCUGAUGGAGGGGGAUAACUACUGGAAACGGUAGCUAAUACCGCAUAACGUCGCAAGACCAAAGAGGGGGACCUUCGGGCCUCUUGCCAUCGGAUGUGCCCAGAUNNNNNNNNNNCGUCGCAAGACCAAAGAGGGGGACCCUCGGGCCUCUUGCCAUCGGAUGUGCCCAGAUGGGAUUAGCUUGUUGGUGGGGUAACGGCUCACCAAGGCGACGAUCCCUAGCUGGUCUGAGAGGAUGACCAGCCACACUGGAACUGAGACACGGUCCAGACUCCUACGGGAGGCAG
rnacentral:rRNA from 1 species